AUUGAACGCUGGCGGCAGGCUUAACACAUGCAAGUCGAGCGGUAACAGGGAGUAGCUUGCUACUCUGCUGACGAGCGGCGGACGGGUGAGUAAUGCCUAGGAAUCUGCCUAGUAGUGGGGGAUAACUUGCCGAAAGGUAAGCUAAUACCGCAUACGUCCUACGGGAGAAAGGAGGGGACCUUCGGGCCUUUCGUCUAUUAGAUGAGCCUAGGUCGGAUUAGUUAGUUGGUGAGGUAAUGGCUCACCAAGACCGCGAUCCGUAACUGGUCUGAGAGGAUGAUCAGUCACACUGGAACUGAGACACGGUCCAGACUCCUACGGGAGGCAGCAGUGGGGAAGUAUUGGACAAUAGGGGGAAACCCGUACGAUCCAGCCAUGCCGCGUGUGUGAAGAAGGUCUUAGGAUUGUAAAGCACUUUAAGUUGGGAGGAAGGGCAGUUAACUAAUAUUUGACUGUUUUGACGUUACCGACAGAAUAAGCACCGGCUAACUUCGUGCCAGCAGCCGACGG
rnacentral:rRNA from 1 species